rnacentral:lncRNA from 1 species
GUGCCAUUUACAUGAUAUUUGGGGGAAGGCAAUGCUACAGGGACAGAAAGUAGUCCCUGGCUGCCUGCAGGUGUGGGGGGGGGUGGGGGCGUGCACCAGCUAGAAAGGGCACCGGAAACUUUCGAGGAUGACAGAGACAUUUCAUGUCUGGACCGCGGUGGUGGCAACAGGACGGUGCGCCUUGGCCCAAAGUCGAAGAAAUACACACCUAAAACCCGAGAAUUUCACCGAAGAUCCUGUUUGGACGUGGUGCAAGGGGCUGGUGUUUGGUACCCUUCCCGGUGCUGUGCCUGGUGUUUCCUGUCGGAACGACGUGGAUCCACAUCUCGGUGGCUGGGCACCCGCUGGCCUUGGGAUAUUCCGUGCCGCGUGGAAGCCGCCUUCUCCCGAAGCCCGCGAGGUUCAUGCUCCUGCCUUUGGACCGCCUCGCGGCCUGCCGGGGAUUGGCGGUUGCUGGGAAGAUUUUCCUGCCGGCAAGGGAUCGUCCUUCUUUCAAGGCUGCUCUUUGUUUUCCGAGCCUGACUGUCUUAAUACCCUUAAAAAGGGACUGCCAAAACCAACAGUCAUCCUAAAAGGCCUUUUUCAAAGACAUGUUUACCGAAGGUGGACAGAUGUAAAGCGAUCCCCCACAGGUCAUGCUUGAUGCGGCCUGUGCCCGGGGAGUCGCCUUUGAUGUCGCAGAGCCGUGCACGUAAAGGAAACCGAGAGGGGGAAGGAGACACAGGAGAAAGCAUGCUUUCUGAUCCAGCGAAUAACCCGGGACGAUGUGCCAGUGAGUCUGCUGUUUGCUCGCCGUCCUAGAGCGCGCCCUGUCAGCCUGGGGUAUUUCAAAGUGCAGUCCCAUUUGAGUAAUGUGGAACAAAGUAGAUUAAUCCUGCAGACAGAAGGCUGGUGAGGUCAUGGGUCUGCAAAGUGGAAGAGACUGGAGGAGACCAUUUGGUGCCUCCCUCCCUGCUCCUGUCUUGGGUCGGUAAGACUUCAGGUUUCCAUGUGAUAGAGACAGAGAAGUCAGGGGCCAGCCCAGCCCUGUCAGCUGCUCCAGCAGACGCUGGGCUCCCGGGUCCAGACGCCUCGCACCGGUCCCUUGUCUGACCUGCCAUGCCCCGUGCACGACAUCCGACUGAGCUGCCCAGCAGGACUCCACUCAGCAUAAUGGGGUCAUUCUUUGGAAGUCUCGAAGCCUCGGGUCACCCCUCAGAACGCUGGCCCUCCUUGGUCUGGAACUACUGAGCGAUCGCCUGUCAAAUACACCAGCUUUUACUGUAAUGGUGACAUUCAUAUUACAAUCUGUCUUACUGCAUCUCUGUGGGCAGCGACACUGCCGUGUCCCUUACUGUAAUACGUCUUAGGACUCCCUCCUCCUAAUGGCCAACAGCUCUUCCCAGAUAAACCAUGGGUCGGGGGAGUGGGAAGGAGUCUCCGGGGUCGACGGGGCGGCUUUGCGGAUGAGCACACUGAGACGGGCGAAGAGAAAGGCACUGACUGGCUCAUGGCCCCUCCACGUCUUU